GGAUGCGAUCAUACCAACACUAAAGCACCGGAUCCCAUCAGAACUCCGAAGUUAAGCGUGCGUAGGCGAGAGUAGUACUAGGAUGGGUGACCUCUUGGGAAGUCCUCGUGUUGCAUUCC
rnacentral:rRNA from 2 species